CCCAGGCAAACACAUAACUAUGUGAAGACUGCCAGAUCUUUAACUCAUUAAAUACACCUCAUUGAGGGCUGCAAAGAUUUCAACACUGCCCUGUUCCUUCCAUCAUUCACAGCAACCCUCAACGACUUUUUCCUAAUAUGGAGUAAUGCCAUCACCCCAAGCAGGGACAGGAACAGUCAUCUAUAAGAAGCAGGUACACCUGGCCUUGUCUCUGAUGGAACCUCUCCAGGAUGAUGCUGAGAAGGGGAACGUGUAACACCAACCCUCUGCCCAUGCAGCUUUAUGUUAAAGACCAGUAGCUGAAAGCCGAAUCGGAUUUAUGCAGCAUUUUGGUGGGCAGAACCUGGACAAGGAAACAUUAUUGUCUCUGAGAGUUUGCAAUCUAACCGAAAGCUCCAAGAAUAAAAGCAUCAAGGGUGCUGUAGUCCCAUGCGAUUACAUCACACUGAUAGUUGGACUACAAGUGAACCCUGAUCCCAAGUUCACACUGCAAGUCUCUGUAUCAAGAGUAGAUUGGACUGUGAUCAGUGGAGCAGAGGUAGGUAGCAUCAUGGCAUAAGAAUGAGGAAGCUGAACUACAAGUUUAAACCACGGCCAGAACUUUGGCAAGAAAAUAUCGCAAGGACGGGCAGAAAUCUAGAGGAAGAAUAAGCAAUAGCAAGGCAUUAGAAUGUGAUCUAUAGGCAGGCUCUGUACCUUUUUAGAAGGUUAUGAGCAUAUUGGGGUUUGUGGCCCCCACGUUAUUUUUACAUUUUUUUUUUCAUUCCUUUAAUCACUCCAUAAACAAGUGCAGUGUUUUU